CUCUAUUUUGUUCUUGCAACUUCUUAUGAAUCUAUAAUUAUUUCAAAAAUUAUAUAAAUAGAAGAUCUAACAUUCUUACAUCCCAGUGGACUGCUUCUUAAAGGUCCAGGAGAUCAACUCCUUAUAGAGACCAUGACUCUGGCUCACAGAGAGACUUGAGGAGAGUGGUUUCCUCUGGUUGGGCUCAUUUCCCUCAUCUGUAAAAUGGGCAGUUUGGCCCAAAGCCCCUUCAACUCUAAAAUUCUAGGAUUAUACAUGCAGUUUUGGGUAGGAGGAUGUAAAUCUCUUCCAGAUUAUGGAAUUGGAUGUGUUCAGCUCCUCCUUCCUGGAAAAUGGACUCGGAACUGUUCACCUCUUCUACAGGAUCCUUCAAAGAAAAAUCCAGAAAGUUCGAAGAUGUUUUUAUCAAACACCUCAAAUAAAGUAUCACAAAAGUUGAAUAAAAGGAAAAGGUAACAUUCCCUGCUGAAGAUGAUGAUGUCUGUAUUGAACCUUGAAGUCAAGUUACUGUGUGCUAGCUACUUUUUGCUUCCAUGACCUGUUCAGGUUGCCCAAAAUACUAGCUGCGUGGGGAAAACAUCCCUUCAGCAGUGGAGUUGAAAGAGAUGUGUGGGGAUUGAGGUAAGGCUCAGAGCCCAUAGACAUUCCUAAAUGUUACCCUGAUAUUGGAGGGGGGAAGCUGAUUGCUUUCCAAGGCAUAGCAAUAAAAAGUUCAUCCCUGGAGAAAGCUGAGGGUGGAGUUAUGUGCCUUUUCACAUCUGUUGAUAAUCCUUUAAUCCUGGCAACUGCUUAAUUGGGAAUAUGCUUAUUUAGGAUAUGGGAACCCAAAACAGUUCUCACAGUGGCUAUCUACAUAGCCUGUGUCUUAGAGAGUUAUCAGCUGUGUGCCUUCCUUCAAUCACCCCUCCCCCUCUGUUUCUUUGGCUAUAUCCACAGAAAUAACCACAUGCUAAUGAAAAGAUAGAUAUUAAAGUUUGUUUACUGCAGUAGUGUUUGAACUUUGAAAAAUCUGGAAAUAAUUUAAAUGUUCAUCAAAUGUUAAGCUGGGAUAAUGAAUCAAUAAAUUUAGGGGAAAUGAUAUAAAGAUGACAUCUUUUAUUUUGUGUAAUAAACAUUGCCAAACACUAACACCCACGAAUACUACUGUCCCAUCAAAAAUAAAAG
rnacentral:lncRNA from 1 species